UGGCCGUGAUGACUUCUUAGGACACCUUUGGAUUAAACGAUGAAAAUAACUCAAAGAUCUGAGCUGC